rnacentral:lncRNA from 1 species
CACUAUCACCAUGGCCCCAUCGCGGUCACCAUGUACUAUGAAAUGCAUGAGCAUACUCUAACUCUUUUCACCAUAAUCAUUAAGUAAAUGCAGCUAUUAAAAGAUUCCUCAUUUUUAAUACUCAUUUAACACUAAUGAUUUUUCAAACACAACACAGAGCAUACUCAAACAUAUUUAUUCACACCAAUUAAAAUUUCCACAACCACACAUAAAUCACAACUCCAAAUUCCAUUCACACCUAAAUUGAAUUAAAUUCAUUUUCCACCAAGUCACACAUAAAUUUCUUCUUAAAAAUUCAUAAUAUUAAUUAUGAACACAUCAAUUUCACCAAACAUGAAUCACCAAAAUUUCCAAACAUUAAUCACCCAUAUUCAAUCUCCAAAAUUUUCAACCAUAAAUCACCAACACAACAUUAAUAAAUCAGAGUUCUCCCCACCGCUAACUCGGUGCCAACGGUCUCGAUUUAUUUUC